UACAGAGGGGGCGAGCGUUAUUCGGAAUUAUUGGGCGUAAAGGGCGCGUAGGCGGCCUUUCAAGUGACGGGUGAAAUCCCUCGGCUUAACCGAGGAACUGCCUGUCAGACUGGAAGGCUUGAGACCGGGAGAGGUGAGUGGAACUCCCAGUGUAGCGGUGAAAUGCGUAGAUAUUGGGAGGAACACCAGUGGCGAAGGCGGCUCACUGGACCGGUACUGACGCUGAUGCGCGAAAGCGUGGGGAGCAAACGGG
rnacentral:rRNA from 1 species